GUGUCAGCAGCCGCGGUAAUACGUAGGGUGCAGGCGUUAAUCGGAAUUACUGGGCGUAAAGCGUGCGCAGGCGGUUUGCUAAGACAGAUGUGAAAUCCCCGGGCUUAACCUGGGAACUGCGUUUGUAACUGGCAAGCUAGAGUGUGGCAGAGGGGGGUGGAAUUCCAAGUGUAGCAGUGAAAUGCGUAGAUAUUUGGAGGAACACCGAUGGCGAAGGCAGCCCCCUGGGCUAACACUGACGCUCAUGCACGAAAGCGUGGGGAGCAAACAGGAUUAGAUACCCGCGUAGUCC
rnacentral:rRNA from 1 species